UGAGGAUGCUCAGCGUUCUGGCUGCAUCUUUCCAGCUAAAUGAAGAGAGAGAGGGAAAGCCUCAUUUAAGUCCCUAUUGCUCCCAAAAGGGCUGGGACUCAGGCAAUGUUUGCUGUUGACCCCGAAAUGCUUAGGAAUAAAAAGCCCUGGAGGAGACUGUGAGGAUCAAGUUCAGCUCCAGAUUUGGAGCCUGAAGACUGAGCCUAAGUUUCCUCAUCUAUGAAAUGGAGGUAACAGGGUCACCAGCAUUGUGGGGAGUGAUGGAGGUGGAGAGCCUAGGAUGUCGCCCAGUGCUACAGGAGCCAGCAAGCACAGCACUUUGGGGACCAGAGGACACCAUGCCAGUGGCUUGCCCGACAUCUCCCCACCCCUUCCGGCCGAGGAGGCGUCCUGCUCAGAUGACACUACAUCUACAAUUCAUUGUUUCUUCCACCACUGCUCAUUGACUACAGAAGAAAAAAGUUCUUCAUCUUUGGCUUGGAGACUGGGCCUCCGUAUAAUCCUGAGUGGAACUUAUGAGGAUGCUUGGAUUCCUGUGUCUGUGACUCUGUGUGGAGGUCUCUUUCUGUUGGAGCAUGAGUAGCUGAUUGUGGGGUGUUCAAUAAAUGCUAAAUGAUGACAAGAGUGGUGCCCAGGGCAGAGGUGACGCACCGUCCCUGAGCUCCCCAUUCUCCUGGGAACGAACUACAGAGAAUGAGACCGAGAGCAGACUGCGUCAGAAGCACCAGCCCCUUCUGUAACCAGCCCAGGCCUCAGGCAGUAACUGCGGUUCUCACAGGUCAGACCUGCCCACUGUGUCUCAGCUGCCAGGAAACCCUGUUCCCAGCGCCCUCCUUGGGCCUGGGCCAGAUCCCCAGUGAGCGGAACCCAGCCAAGGGGCCACAUUAGUCACCCUGUGGCAACAGCAGGGAGUAAUUCCUGGGCUCCUUUAUGCAGCAAUGCAGCGGCCACCUCACAUCCUCCACUCUAAUACAUCCUUACAACUCAACUCCAAGAUGCCAGACGGCAGCUUUUUUUUUCUUUUUCGAGACAGAGUCUCGCUCUGUGGCCCAGGCUGGAGUGCAAUGGCGCAAUCUCAGCUCACUACAACCUCUGCCUCCUGGGUUCAAGCAAUUCUCCUGUCUCAGCCUCCCAAGUCGCUGGGAUUACAGGCAUGCCCCACCAUGCCUGGCUAAUUUUUGUAUUUGUAGUAGAGACGGGUUUCUCCACGUUGGUCAGGCUCGUCUCAAAUUCCCAACCACAGGUGAUCCACCUGUCUCGGCUUCCCAAAGUGCUGGGAUUACAGGCGUGAGCCACCACACCCAGCUUCUUUGUUUUGUUUUUGAGACAGGGUCUCACUCUGAUGCACAGGCUGGAGUGCAGUGGUGUGAUACUGCAGCCUUGACUUCCUGAGCUCAGGGGAUUCUCUCACCUCAGCUCCGAGUACCUGGGACUACAGGCAUGCACCAUCAGGCCCAGUUAAUUUUUGUAGUUUUUGUAGAGACAGGGUUUCACUAUGUUGCCUGGGCUGGUCUCGAACUCAUGAGCUCAAGUGAUCUGCC